AGAGUUUGAUCCUGGCUCAGGACGAACGCUGGCGGCGUGCCUAACACAUGCAAGUCGAGCGGGGAACCCCUUCGGGGGUUUUCAGCGGCGGACGGGUGAGUAACGCGUGAGCAACCUUUCCUUCACAGGGGGAUAACGCAGCGAAAGCUGUGCUAAUACCGCUUAAGACCACAACGUCGCAUGGCGAAGGGGUCAAAGGAGUAAUCCGGUGAAGGGUGGGCUCGCGUCUGAUUAGCUAGUUGGCGGGGUAACGGCCCACCAAGGCAACGAUCAGUAGCCGACCUGAGAGGGUGAUCGGCCACACUGGGACUGAGACACGGCCCAGACUCCUACGGGAGGCAGCAGUGGGGAAUAUUGGGCAAUGGGGGAAACCCUGACCCAGCAACGCCGCGUGAGGGAAGAAGGUUUUCGGAUCGUAAACCUCUGUCCUCAGGGACGAAUAGAUGACGGUACCUGAGGAGGAAGCCCCGGCUAACUACGUGCCAGCAGCCGCGGUAAUACGUAGGGGGCAAGCGUUGUCCGGAAUGAUUGGGCGUAAAGGGCGCGUAGGCGGCCUGUUAAGUCUGGAGUGAAAGUCCUGCUUUCAAGGUGGGAAUUGCUUUGGAAACUGGCGGGCUGGAGUGCAGGAGAGGUUAGCGGAAUUCCCGGUGUAGCGGUGAAAUGCGUAGAGAUCGGGAGGAACACCAGUGGCGAAGGCGGCUAACUGGACUGUAACUGACGCUGAAGCGCGAAAGUGUGGGGAGCAAACAGGAUUAGAUACCCUGGUAGUCCACACGGUAAACGAUGAAUGCUAGGUGUAGGGGGUAUCGACCCCUUCUGUGCCGGAGUAAACACAAUAAGCAUUCCGCCUGGGGAGUACGGCCGCAAGGUUGAAACUUAAAUGAAUUGACGG
rnacentral:rRNA from 1 species